rnacentral:rRNA from 2 species
GACGAACGCUGGCGGCGUGCCUAAUACAUGCAAGUCGAACGAACUCUGGUAAUGAUUGGUGCUUGCAUCAUGAAUUGCAUUUGAGUGAGUGGCGAACUGGUGAGUAACACGUGGGAAACCUGCCCAGAAGCGGGGGAUAACACCUGGAAACAGAUGCUAAUACCGCAUAACAACUUGGACCGCAUGGUCCGAGUUUGAAAGAUGGCUUCGGCUAUCACUUUUGGAUGGUCCCGUGGCGUAUUAGCUAGAUGGUGAGGUAACGGCUCACCAUGGCAAUGAUACGUAGCCGACCUGAGAGGGUAAUCGGCCACAUUGGGACUGAGACACGGCCCAAACUCCUACGGGAGGCAGCAGUAGGGAAUCUUCCACAAUGGACGAAAGUCUGAUGGAGCAACGCCGCGUGAGUGAAGAAGGGUUUCGGCUCGUAAAACUCUGUUGUUAAAGAAGAACAUAUCUGAGAGUAACUGUUCAGGUAUUGACGGUAUUUAACCAGAAAGCCACGGCUAACUACGUG